rnacentral:lncRNA from 1 species
UGGAGACGAGGUUCAGAAUGUGAAGGACUUAGAAUUACUUCAACGAUUACAGUUAGCUAAUGACAGUGAUGACGACAUUCCUUCUUCGGAGCACGAGCUUGACUAUAUCGACACGCGUGAUAGUGAUGAUGAGACUUAUGAUCCAACUAAUCCCGAUCAUGAUGAUUAUUUCUAAUACAUGUAUGAUUCGUACUAAUUUAGUUAUAAUUUAAUUAUAAUUUGCAUAUCUUUGUAAUUAUGUUUUGUUUGCCUAUGCUGACUCGUGUAC